AGCUCUGCCCAACUUCCAGCCACAUGCCCCCACUAAUAGGACACAUUUCAUCCCUUUCAGGCAGGAAAUGCUAAGCAACUAUGCUGCAGGUAAAAUCUGUUGGACUUUUAAGGAAUGUACUCUUAAGGAAUGUACUCUUAAGGAAUGUACUCUGUCUCCCCCUUUUGUAUGCCAGUUUUCCCUGAAGGCAGGUCUCAACUUGCACAUCACCAGAUAAGGUGCCUGUUGUAAUUGUGGGGUGAAAGCAGGGACCAGAGAGCUUUCAAAUUAGCCUUUCACUUCAUUUUUGUGCCUUGCAGAGCCAAGGUUUCUUUUUGCCAGCUGGCUGAAUUUCAGUAGAUUCUUCAAGAAUUCCAGCAUAGCUGUUCCAGAAAUAAGUGAGCUCAAAUUGCUCAAUACAAGGCAUUGCAAAAUUCUUGUCUUCUCAUUUUGUGCGUAUCAGUGCAGGAAACGGUAAGGCUGUGAGCUCUUCGGAAGCAACACAUUUUACCAUGAAGUGGUUCCUGGGUUUCUUUCUUGCCAUUGGCAUCUUGGUGACAGUUUGUGAUGCAUAUUGCUUUUUUCAGCAAAAUAACCGAAAGGAAUCUACCGAAGGUUGUGUUCAAAAUGACAAGAUGUAUGAGUUUGGUACCAGCUGGCAGAGUGAGGAUUGCCACUCCUGUAGCUGCAGCCAUAGGGGGAUACGCUGUUGCUCCAUCGUUCAUUCCCCUGUUGGCUAUGAUCAAAAUAUGUGCAAAUGGUUUUCAACAAGGACGCCUGCAGCAUCAAAGUAGUGGAGAAAACUGACCCCUACAAAGAAUGUGAGGUCCACAGCUGGGUGGGCUAACAAUGAACUGGCUCCAGAUUUCUCUGCCUAGUGAAUCUCCUUGCCCUGUGAUGGAUGGCCAGCCAUGGCAAGAGUCCAUUCUUUGAUCUGAAUGAAUGAGGUAUUUUAAGUCAUACUAGCAGCUUGCUUUUCUUCAUCUAGUUGAAUAGCAAUGUAGUAUAUGAUAAUAUACUGUAUCUACUCCCAUUUUAUUUCUGUUCUUAUCUGCAUUGGCAAAACUGAGCUUUUGUUGAGUAAAAUAAAAUUUCUGACGCUUCAUUUGA